UACGUAGGGGGCAAGCGUUAUCCGGAUUUACUGGGUGUAAAGGGAGCGUAGACGGCGAUGCAAGCCAGAUGUGAAAGCCCGGGGCUCAACCCCGGGACUGCAUUUGGAACUGUAUAGCUAAAGUGUCGGAGAGGCAGGCGGAAUUCCUAGUGUAGCGGUGAAAUGCGUAGAUAUUAGGAGGAACACCAGUGGCGAAGGCGGCCUACUGGACGAUGACUGACGCUGAGGCUCGAAAGCGUGGGGAGCAAACAGG
rnacentral:rRNA from 1 species